rnacentral:misc_RNA from 1 species
GAUGAAGAACGCAGCGAAAUGCGAUAAGUAAUGCGAAUUGCAGAAUUCAGUGAGUCAUCGAAUCUUUGAACGCACAUUGCGCCCUGUGGUAUUCCGCAGGGCAUGCCUGUUCGAGCGUCAUUUCAACCCUCAAGCUCUGCUUGGUGUUGGGCCCUGCCCGCUGCGGCCGGCCCUAAAGACAGUGGCGGUGCCGCCUGGCCCUGAGCGUAGUACAUCUCUCGCUCCAGUGCCCGGUGGUAGCCUGCCAGAACCCCAACUCUCGUGGUUGACCUCGGAUCAGGUAGGGAUUCCCGCUGAACUUAAGCAUAUCAAUAAGCGGAGGA